UAUCAGUCCUACUGGUGUUAUCUCCUCCAGCUCUGCUGCUAUCUGAUCCCUGGGAUUACCAUGACUACUACAGGAUCUGUUAAGGAGGUCUGGGAUUACAAUGACUACUACAGGAUCUGUUAAGGAGGUCUGGGAUUACCAUGACUACUACAGGAUCUGUUAAGGAGGUCUGGGAUUACCAUGACUACUACAGGAUCUGUUAAGGAGGUCUGGGAUUACAAUGACUACUACAGGAUCUGUUAAGGAGGUCUGGGAUUACCAUGACUACUACAGGAUCUGUUAAGGAGGUCUGGGAUUACCAUGACUACUACAGGAUCUGUUAAGGAGGUCUGGGAUUACAAUGACUACUACAGGAUCUGUUAAGGAGGUCUGGGAUUACCAUGACUACUACAGGAUCUGUUAAGGAGGUCUGGGAUUACAAUGACUACUACAGGAUCUGUUAAGGAGGUCUGGGAUUACCAUGACUACUACAGGAUCUGUUAAGGAGGUCUGGGAUUACAAUGACUACUACAGGAUCUGUUAAGGAGGUCUGGGAUUACAAUGACUACUACAGGAUCUGUUAAGGAGGUCUGGGAUUACAAUGAC